GCCUAAUGGUCUAGAGGUUAAGCUUUCACAAGAGAGUCUGAAGGUCCUGGGUUCGAAUCCCGAGUGAGUUA
rnacentral:tRNA from 1 species